GUUGUCGUGGUCGAGUGGAUAAGGAGAUGAACUACAAAUCUUUUGGGAUCUUCCCGCGCAGGUUCGAAUCCUGCCGACAUCG
rnacentral:tRNA from 1 species